rnacentral:rRNA from 1 species
UACGUAGGGUGCGAGCGUUAAUCGGAAUUACUGGGCGUAAAGGGCGCGUAGGCGGCACUGUUAGUCAGGCGUGAAAUUCCUGGGCUCAACCUGGGGACUGCGCUUGAUACGGCAGAGCUAGAGGAUGGAAGAGGCUCGCGGAAUUCCCAGUGUAGAGGUGAAAUUCGUAGAUAUUGGGAAGAACACCGGUGGCGAAGGCGGCGAGCUGGUCCAUUACUGACGCUGAGGCGCGACAGCAUGGGGAGCGAACGGG